CCUACGGGAGGCAGCAGUAGGGAAUCUUCCACAAUGGGCGAAAGCCUGAUGGAGCAACGCCGCGUGGGUGAAGAAGGUCUUCGGAUCGUAAAACCCUGUUGUUAGAGAAGAAAGUGCGUGAGAGUAACUGUUCACGUUUCGACGGUAUCUAACCAGAAAGCCACGGCUAACUACGUGCCAGCAGCCGCGGUAAUACGUAGGUGGCAAGCGUUAUCCGGAUUUAUUGGGCGUAAAGGGAACGCAGGCGGUCUUAUAAGUCUGAUGUGAAAGCCUUCGGCUUAACCGGAGUAGUGCAUUAGAAACUGGGGAACUUGAGUGCAGAAGAGGAGAGUGGAACUCCAUGUGUAGCGGUGAAAUGCGUAGAUAUAUGGAAGAACACCAGUGGCGAAAGCGGCUCUCUGGUCUGUAACUGACGCUGAGGUUCGAAAGCGUGGGUAGCAAACAGGAUUAGAUACCCGGGUAGUC
rnacentral:rRNA from 1 species